GAGAACAAAGGAAAGCGUCCGACCUCUACAGCUAUUAUCCCUAUUAUUGUUUUGUUUUGUUGCUGUCUUUGUUGUCAUUAUUACCAUUCUCAUUGCUUUCGUUUCUCAGCAGGUUUGUUUUCAUUUUUUUUUUUAUAUAUAUAGAGCACCAACAUACGCCGCAGUGCUGUACGUAGCAAAGCGAAAAGCAAAGAAGCAACACAAAACUGGUUAACACCUCCAAACAACAUGCACAGGGAAGAGAGAAUGAAGCAAAUGAGUCUGCAGAGAAGGAGUCGCCUUAUCUGUGUCACCUACAGGAAAAGCUGAGCAUUUCUCUGAAAAGAGUCCAGGGGUUCAACUCAGAGAAGGAACUAGAAUCAGAUCACAAAGUGAAAAACUACAAUGGAAGACUACCUAUUGAAUGGGUCAAAGAGCAAUAGACAGCAUUCCGAGCUCUUAAAGUCUGCUGACAGAACCCCCCAACUUGGCAUAUCCAGACUACAGUCAGCCAUUCCGGCUAUAUACUGAUGCUAGUUUGGUGGGUCUGGGAGCUGUCCUGUAACAAGUCAAAGAGGGGCAAGAGAGAGUGAUUGCCUACGCCACUCGUAACCUUCGUGAACCAGAAUGUUGUGACUGCCCUCAUGGACAGUGAACCCAGGUCCAAAAAGGUUAAAGAAGACCUAUACACCUGGAAGACUCUUCAAGACGAAAGUCAAGUCUUGGGGGAUCUGUUGGACUACCUUCCAAAAAAGGUAUCAACCCGUCUACGCCGGGCUCAUUGUGACUACGAGCUGAAACGCCUUUGGUGACAGAGGAUGCGACUGUUUGUGCACAAGGGACUGUUGUACCGAAGUUCUUUGGAUCCGGUCUCUGGUGAUCGACUUUAUCAGAUUCUGGUUCCCCGAAGAGACGCGGCGAUGGUCCUCAACGCAUACCAUGAUCAGUCGGGACACUUUGGAGUCCACAAGACCGAAGCUACUGUCAGGCGAAGAUUCUAUUGGUUCGGAAUGCGGAGCGACAUUGAGAAAUGGUGCAGUGAAUGUGCAGUUUGUAACGUCACUAAGGCUGCAUUCACAUCUAAUUUUUGCAAUACGGUUCCCGUCUCUGAUUUCAGUGAAAAAAAUGUAUGGAACCGUAUGUAUAGACAUUUCAUAGAAAACCGUAUGCCAACCGUAGCAUCCGACUGUGUACUUUUUGCAUCAUUUACGGUUUUAUCUGUUUUUUCCCGUAACAAAACCGUAGUCCACUACGGUUUUAAGUCUGAGUGAAAAACCGGAUACAACCCGUAUACGUUUAAAAAAAAAAAAAUGGUGGUCUAUGGAAACCGUACUGAACCGUAUGUGCAUACGGUUCCAUCCGGUUUGCACAAUACGGUUUUGCAGUUUGCACAUGCGCAGUGCAUGCCGAAAAUUCUUCCCACAAAUAGAAAAAGAAGAUCUUUAUUUAAUUAAGGACAAACAUAAAACCGUAUCCAUUUUUUUUCUCCAAAAAACGUAUUAAACUGUAUGCAACCGGACAUCCGUUUUCAAACCGUAUACGGUUUAAAAUCAAACAGAGCUAUAUACAGUUGUGCACGGUUGUAUACUGUUCGGUCCAGUUUUGAGACAUACAUUUUUUUACAAAAAACCUGAUACGGGAACUGUAUUGCAAAAACGAGAUGUGAAUGCAGCCUAAGAAUGUGCGCAAGGACGCAAUAGCACCCCUCCAUUCCAUCCAGAGUGAAAGGCCUAACCAGUUGGUCGCACUAGACCAUGUCAAGUUGUCUGCUACCCGGUCUGGGUACACUUGUGCUCUCACCAUGGUGGAUCACUACUUUAAGUGGGUUGUCAUUGUACCCCUUAAGGACCUCACAGCCAAGACAGCGGCCCAGAUGUUCUAUUCCAAUUGGAUGCAAACCCUUGGGUGUCCAGAGACUGUCCUGAUGGACCAUUGAACUGCCUUUGAGGCCCAACUCUUCCAAGAGCUGUGUCAAUUCAAUGCCUGUAAGAAAGUCCGGACUACUGCUUACCACCCCCAGGGGAACGGGCUCUGUGAGCACAUCAAUCAAGUCUUUAUCCACAUUUUGAGAGCAGCCUCUGUCUCCAGGUAUGAAGAGUGGCCUCCAGUUGCUGCCUGAACUUUUGGAGAUCUAUAAUAAUACAGUCCAUUAUUCUACGUGGUACACCCCAUUCUACUUGAUGAUGGGGCAGCUGCAUAAGGACCGAGCAUUUGGGUUCCAAGCCCCGUUUAACAACUCUCCGCAAGCCUCCCUGGAAUGGGUCUCUGACCACCAGAGAAGAAUCCAAGAAGCCAAAGAAAUUGUGGGCAAGAAGAUGGGCGAGGCUCAGCAAAGACAACAACAGGACUAUAGUCAUCAUGCCUCUGCCAAAGCACUUCAAUUGAGCGACAAAGUGUGGCUGCGGAAGUUUCCAUAACCCAUAAAUUAGACUCUAUCUGGGAGACAGAACCGUACACAAUGAUGGCCAUACGCGUAUCCAGAUUCUGAUGUGUACGAAGUACAAAAGCAUGGGUAUGAGCCACAAGUUGUUCACCGAAACCGGAUCAAGUUGUGUCUGAAAAAGGAUCUGCCAGUGAUCCCAGCACCAUCUCCUCCAGCCAUCAGACCUGCGAGAGAGUACGUCCCAGGCGAAGGGAUCCAUCAAUCUAUGGAUUUCCCCAUGUUUUCUCUGAGUCAGGGGGGCUAAUCCAACCAACACUAAUCUCCACACCAGUCCCGGUCUUGUCACCAUUGGCUCCAUAUGGCUUAUACCCCCGUCUCUAGAGUGCCGACCCUGUCACCAGUCUCUUCACCACUAUUGCCAGCAACUUUGAAUCCAACUAGUCCUGGACUAAUAAAAUG